rnacentral:lncRNA from 1 species
ACCAGCUGAGCACGGAGAACCAGCCACGAGCAGUUUGUGGAUACCACUGUCUGGUGUUGGAGAGUCAGGUUCCUGCCAGAAAGCAAAAGAAGAAACCAAAAGUGUUUGUUGCACAGAUGCAGAUCUGUCCGCAUCUGUGGAGGAACCGAGGCAGGAAGCGAAACACAUCUGGGAACAGCGGCCAGGGAGCUUCCCUUUUCUUAAUCACAUUGUCUUGCAUGCUAUUCCUCAGAUCUAUCGGAGAUCGAAUUGUGUUUGUUCGUUCGUUCGUUCGUUUCUUUGGUUGGUUGGUUGAUUGGUUUUGGUCUCCUCCCAAUUUGUAUUUAAUAGGAUAACCAUGAGGAUUGGAUGAGUCAUUGCCUCAGACUCCUGGUUAAUAGAUCCCGUUGGUACUCUUUCCCUCUUCUGUACAAUAAGCUAACUCUAUUUUGAAGGCUACAAUUUAGACAUAGAUUCUUAGAGAGGAAAAUAAAAAGUGAAGAUCCCGUUGGUCUGCUAGCCUCCAGUAGUCACUGAGCUGUGUUUUUAGGAAGGAUGGAUGUAUAAAGAAACAGCAGGAGAGUAUGUGGGGGAAGUUUGGGAGAGUGUGUAGUAACAGUAUCAAGAUCCACCAAAGACUUUGUCAGUGGUAUUUAUUGUCUCCUCCCUAGCAAGUUCUCCUCAGACACUCAGCACUGUUGAUCACAGACAACUGGAACCUCCGAACUGAAAAGCAGCAGCGUCUGCAGAAACUGACCAACUGGUUUCAGUACA